rnacentral:rRNA from 1 species
GAAAAGAACUUUGAAGAGAGAGUUCAAGAGUACGUGAAACCGUUCAGGGGUAAACCUGAGAAACCCAAAAGAUCGAAUGGGGAGAUUCAUCGUCGACGAAGCUGGCUCCCGUUGGUGCGCGAUACCCCGAAUGGGCCUUAAUGGUUCCAAGGCGAGGGUACACCACCUUCGGCGAACGAUCCGGCGACGUAGUCGUGCACUUCUCCCUUAGUAGAACGUCGCGACCCGUUGUGUGUCGGUCUACGGCCUGGGCUAAUUGCCUGUCGCGGCGCCUUCGUACGCUCGCGGCAGAGGCUCGGUCGCCUGGCCGGCUGCACGACGGUACUCUGACGGUAUCGGGCCGCAACCAAUCCAUUUUCGAAUGUGUGUGCGUCGGACCCGCCGCAAGCUCGGACAGAUUUACUCGGAGUGUGCGGACCUAGAGCCCUCACCGGGUCUGGCCAGCUGUUGGCAGGCGGUGUUCUUGGACUGGCCAAGCUUUGAAUUACCGGUCGGCGACGCUACUGCUUUGGGUACUCUCAGGACCCGUCUUGAAACACGGACCAAGGAGUCUAACAUGUGCGCGAGUCAUUGGGACAUGUAAACCUAAAGGCGCAAUGAAAGUGAAGGUCGGCCUCGGCGUCGACCAAGGGAGGAUGGGCCGCUUACGUCCCGGCCCCGCACUCCCGGGGCGUCUCGUUCUCAUUGCGAGAAGAGGCGCACCCAGAGCGUACACGUU